AGGAUCUCGCUUUCCAAACCCGUACCGGAUUCAGGAGCCCGGCGGAGAGCAGCACGAUGCGCAGCGCCCAUAGGGCUGCUCCCGUCCUUCGCUCUCCCCGGGCUCUCCCCCACGCGGCCGUCGGCCCAGGGACGUCGGAAGGAGCCGACCGAACGGCCCCUCGCCGCCCACAGUGCGUCCAUGCGCGCACCGCUCCUCCCCGGCGGGGCGCAAAAAGCGCGCAGCCACCGCACGCGUGCUCGCCUCGCUUCUCCACCGCCGGGCUUCCUAGAAGCGCUUACAAACCGCUCCCUCCAACAAAACGAAAGGAAGGCAAGAAGCAGGCGCCGCGCACCCCAGAAUCGCUCCAGAAAGAGAUGAAUGGCACACAAGGAACGGCUUCUGCCUUACGGGCAUUACUAAAACCCUCACCUCGCCCAUGCGCCCCUACGGCACGCAGGUCAACCGGUGAGCGCUGUGCUUCAGCUCCCUUUCUGCGCCCCGAAGACACGCACGUGGCCACGCGCGGCAGCAGGAAACACCAUGAGGCAGAACCGGAAGGACUGCGGGGCUGCAUGCCACGGCCACGCCAAUCCCAACUUCUGGGCAGGAAACGUAUGCCAUGGCAGAGCGCUGAAGAUGACUCAAAUCGCCUCUCCCCCACCCUCCGGUGCCACGGAACAACAGCCCUCUUCAGCCAGGGGAGGGGGACCACGUGGAGGGAUGACUCAAAGCUCUGGGAUAGGGGAAAAACCCACAGAGCAGAGCACACAGCCCACCCCCCCAAACUCACACCGCCUCAUGUUAUAUUAAUUAAACACACAACAACUGCCUUGAGGUAAUAAACACUACAAAGGCAAAGCCAUCUCGUCCUACCGCAAGAUAAGUUUACUGAGGUCAAACCCCAGGGAAAACUAAUCUAACCACAUUUUCAAAUUGUUUGGAAUAUUCCAUAGCCCAACAAAACCAUAAAUUGACAAAAACAUCCUAUCCUAGAAUAGCGUGGGGAUAACAAAGAAUGUUUUGUUUAAUUAAAGGCAGAUGACCUAAUAAAAGUUUCACACUCACAGUGCGCAAAUAAAUCUUCGUCUUUGUUU
rnacentral:lncRNA from 7 species